rnacentral:rRNA from 1 species
AGGAUGAACGACUGGCGGCGUGCUUAACAACACUGCAAGUCGAACGGAGAUUAUACGCAGAGGUCGAUUUCGGUCAAUCAGUGUGUAAUCUUAGUGGCGGACGGGUGAGUAACGCGUGGGUAACCUGCCUUACACUGGGGGAUAACACUUAGAAAUAGGUGCUAAUACCGCAUAAGCGCACGAAGCCGCAUGGAUUUGUGUGAAAAACUCCGGUGGUGUAAGAUGGACCCGCGUCUGAUUAGCUUGUUGCGGGGUAACGGCCCACCAAGGCGACGAUCAGUAGCCGGCCUGAGAGGGUGGACGGCCACAUUGGGACUGAGACACGGCCCAAACUCCUACGGGAGGCAGCAGUGGGGGAUAUUGGACAAUGGGGGGGAACCCUGAUCCAGCGACGCCGCGUGAGUGAAGAAGUAUUUCGGUAUGUAAAGCUCUGUCAGCAGGGAAGAAAGAAAUGACGGUACCUGACCAAGAAGCCCCGGCUAACUACGUG